ensembl:lincRNA RIKEN cDNA A630023P12 gene
ACUAACUGGGUACCUACAGAGGAGAUCUGCCUGCUGCAUCUAGAGGAGAUCUGCCUGCUGCAUCCAGAGAAGAGGAGGUUUGGAGCUUGGGUAUGGCUUCUCUAUGAUUCUGCGUUUGGUGAUCAGAAACUUGGUGUUUCCAAGCUGUUCAACUGAGGAAUAGGCCUUAGACCAGCUUUCACUGAAGAGACAUCAGGCAUCUAAGGAUCGCUUGACACAGUGGAAUACCAGGCACACAGUGGGAAGCUUCUCCCAGUGGGUUGCUAACAGAUGAAGAGCAGAAACAGGAGUGGAUCCUUCCUCUUAAAGUUCCUGCCACCUUAGACUGGAGACCAAGCCUGCAGGACGUGAAGCUUGGGAAGUCAGAUCACGCUCCAAGAAUGGAGUCAUAUGAGGAUGAUUCUGAGUGCUUGGGAGAAAACUCCAAGAAACCAGGACGAGAGAUUUGUGAUUUCAGUUUCUUCAAAGUCACAAAAUUUUUCUUGGAUUAUGCUUUUGUGCCCCUCCCAGAUGUAGCUGUUCACUUCAGAUUAUUCAUCAUAACUGGCUAUUAUUUGUUCAUACACCUCUAUGGAAAAUCCAUGUGUGGCUUUGGCCUGGUGACUGUACACUUUAAUCACUUGGCUCUGAGUAACCCUCAAAGUAUAAAUUGUCUGAUGCUC